GUGUAGUAGUGUAGUGGUUUAAGCACUGGACUAUGACUCUGGAGACCAGGGUUCAAAUCCCUGCUCCGACA